GACGAACGCUGGCGGCGUGCUUAACACGUGCAAGUCGAACGGAAAGGCCCUGCUUUUGUGGGGUGCUCGAGUGGCGAACGGGUGAGUAACACGUGAGUAACCUGCCCUUGACUUUGGGAUAACUUCAGGAAACUGGGGCUAAUACCGGAUAGGAGCUCCUGCUGCAUGGUGGGGGUUGGAAAGUUUCGGCGGUUGGGGAUGGACUCGCGGCUUAUCAGCUUGUUGGUGGGGUAGUGGCUUACCAAGGCUUUGACGGGUAGCCGGCCUGAGAGGGUGACCGGCCACAUUGGGACUGAGAUGCGGCCCAGACUCCUACGGUAGGCAGCAGUGGGGAAUAUUGCACAAUGGGCGGAAGCCUGAUGCAGCAACGCCGCGUGCGGGAUGACGGCCUUCGGGUUGUAAACCGCUUUCGCCUGUGACGAAGCGUGAGUGACGGUAAUGGGUAAAGAAGCACCGGCUAACUACGUG
rnacentral:rRNA from 1 species